rnacentral:tRNA from 1 species
GCACCCUCGGCAGCGCGUCAGUCUCAUAAUCUGAAGGUCGUGAGUUCGAGCCUCACACGGGGCA